CUUGAAUCCCCUGUCAAUAUUUUUAAAGAAUUAACGGCUACAUUCUGGCCCAUGUUAACUGUAAGAAGUCUUACUGCUCUGGGACUCGCUUCUUUCUUUUCUUGAAUAAAUAUAUAUCUAAAAAAAGAUUAACUGUAGCGAACUUCUAUUUUCUUAUCUAGUUGAGUUCUGCCUGGUGAGAUUGGCCACUGAUAAAUGUCUGCAGUAUGUCAAUAUAGUUUAUUUGUUCGUUAUGCAGUUUCUUGACUGUUCUCUGUAUUUUUCUUUUUAAUUUAACCAUAAGCUUGAAGCUUUAAAAUUCCUGAACUUCAUUUACUCAUGGUGUCUGCAUCAAAUUAUACGAGACUGGUUGUCUCAUGCGACUGUUGAAAAUGAUUUAAAUAAUUAAAUUUGUCCCCUUUCUAACAUCAUAAACUUUUAAAUGACGUGUUACAACAUGAUCCUAGUGCAGUCAAAAGAUGCGAGUUCAAGUCUCCCUGCCACCUAUUUAUAAUCGUCACAUGUCAGGCCUUUGAUAAAAAUGUAUUCAGCCUGAACUUAAUGCGGCACUUUGAAGGCAGUAUACAUAAUUAAGUUUGUCCUCUUUCUUCAAAAGCUUUUAAGCGAGGUGGUUUGACCGUGUCUAUGCUUUUCAACUUUUGCCUCGUCCACUAGUCUAAUCCUUAAUUAGGUCUCAGUAUCAUUUUUAGCUCUGGUGUAUCUGGUCAAGAGGUUUAGGCAAACCUAUAUAAUUUAGAGAGAGCAAAUUUUGGGUGUGGAGGAAUAUGGCAUGGAUUACUUUACAUGUUGGGAAUGAUCCCCUUCUUUGUACUCUGAAUCGGAAUACUAUGUGGCUUCAGUAGAUUUGAGCUCGUAAAAGAUUUCAAGAUAAAACCAUAAUGUUUUGCUCUCUGCAUAAACAAAUGGCUUGUUUUUCAGGCGGGUUGGAAGCUUUGGCCUUUUGCUCAUCUCGUUACCUACGGUGUGAUCCCUGUUGAACAAAGACUUCUUUGGGUCGACUGUGUGGAGCUCAUUUGGGUGACAAUAUUAUCAACGUAAGCAUGUCGUCUUAAUUGAGCUCUUAUUUCCAGUUUCUAUGUUCGGAUGCACACUUUGCCAUGUUUGGGUAGUUGGAUUAGACAAUAAUAGGGAGUAUCACACAGCUUUUCUCCUUUCAAUGUAUGAGGUAUCAAGGAUCUGGUUACUGUAGUUUGACAUGAUAAUAUCUGUCUUGAACUAUUCUGAGAUGGAACGAGAACUCUAAUUUCUUUUGGAAUUCUAUUUGGUAGUUAUUCGAACGAGAAAUCAGAAGCCCGCAUCUCUGAUUUACCUGCCGAAGCUAAUGUCGAUGCAUCGUCAAAACGUACACCUGAGGUAUGCCAAAUGUUUAGUUAACUAUGCAUGUGAGAUUCGUCUUUCGACUGCUAUAACCUAUAAUUCUGACUCACCGUCUCUUUUCCCUUGUUUUCUCUGUUAAGGUUUGACAGAAUAGACCAACCGAGACCAGAUGAAGCGAUGAGAAAUCGAUUGCAAGGAGAUAAUUGAAGCCAUCUAUACGAAGGUAACAAGGCUGCAGGUACCGAUCGAGUGUAAAUUCUCUAUGUACUUUGUGCAGAUCUUUUCGGUAUCUGUAUGUGCGCAUUAAUUCUUGACUUGGAAAAUGUAGUUUAACUAGUCAUGCCUAAAACAUGCAGUGUCGACAUUUUUAUAUAAGAAUCUCCACUUUCUCCACUGAUAAAUGUCUGCAGUAUGUCAAUAUAGUUUAUUUGUUCGUUAUGCAGUUUCUUGACUGUUCUCUGUAUUUUUCUUUUUAAUUUAACCAUAAGCUUGAAGCUUUAAAAUUCCUGAACUUCAUUUACUCAUGGUGUCUGCAUCAAAUUAUACGAGACUGGUUGUCUCAUGCGACUGUUGAAAAUGAUUUAAAUAAUUAAAUUUGUCCCCUUUCUAACAUCAUAAACUUUUAAAUGACGUGUUACAACAUGAUCCUAGUGCAGUCAAAAGAUGCGAGUUCAAGUCUCCCUGCCACCUAUUUAUAAUCGUCACAUGUCAGGCCUUUGAUAAAAAUGUAUUCAGCCUGAACUUAAUGCGGCACUUUGAAGGCAGUAUACAUAAUUAAGUUUGUCCUCUUUCUUCAAAAGCUUUUAAGCGAGGUGGUUUGACCGUGUCUAU
rnacentral:lncRNA from 1 species